rnacentral:rRNA from 1 species
AUUGAACGCUGGCGGCAUGCCUUACACAUGCAAGUCGAACGGCAGCACGGGUGCUUGCCCCUAGUGGCGAGUGGCGAACGGGUGAGUAAUACAUCGGAACAUGUCCUGUAGUGGGGGAUAGCCCGGCGAAAGCCGGAUUAAUACCGCAUACGAUCCACGGAUGAAAGCGGGGGACCUUCGGGCCUCGCGCUAUAGGGUUGGCCGAUGGCUGAUUAGCUAGUUGGUGGGGUAAAGGCCUACCAAGGCGACGAUCAGUAGCUGGUCUGAGAGGACGACCAGCCACACUGGGACUGAGACACGGCCCAGACUCCUACGGGAGGCAGCAGUGGGGAAUUUUGGACAAUGGGCGAAAGCCUGAUCCAGCAAUGCCGCGUGUGUGAAGAAGGCCUUCGGGUUGUAAAGCACUUUUGUCCGGAAAGAAAUCCUUGACUCUAAUACAGUCGGGGGAUGACGGUACCGGAAGAAUAAGCACCGGCUAACUACGUG